GGAAACUCAAGAAUGCUGCGUAAAUUUAACGGGACCAAGUCGGCCAACGCUUUAUCCGCGAUGAACGUUUCGUAUACAAUUUUUAUUGGGCUGAGUGUUGCUUUCGUGCACGGUUACGCACCAAAAGGCGAAGGCUACGGGGAUGAAAAGAAAGUAGCAGGAGGGCGUCGUUGUGAUUUCCUGACAACAAGCACGAAAUGCAGCCACUUUUCCGGUUGGUACUACAACUCAACUGAUAGGACUUGCCGUGAAACGGAAUAUGAAAGCUGUGGAGGUCCCUGUAAUCGAUUUAGCAGCUGUGAAGACUGCAUGAAACACUGUU